GGGUCAGUAGGUUGGUCGUGCCACCGGUACGUACUGGUCUCACUGAUUCCUCCUUCCUGAAGAACCGUAAUGCCAUUAAUUUGGUGUUGCGGGGAAACAGGACUGUUACUUUGAAAAAAUUAGAGUGUUUAAAGCAAGCUAACGCUUGAACACAUUAGCAUGGAAUAAUGAAAUAGGACGAUCGAUCCUAUUUUGUCGGUUUCUAGGAUUGACGUA
rnacentral:rRNA from 1 species